rnacentral:rRNA from 1 species
GCGGCGGCAGGCUUAACACAUGCAAGUCGAGCGGUAACAGAGAGUAGCUUGCUACUUUGCUGACGAGCGGCGGACGGGUGAGUAAUGCUUGGGAAUGUGCCAUUUGGUGGGGGACAACAGUUGGAAACGACUGCUAAUACCGCAUAAUGUUGUCAUCCCAAAGGAGGGGAUCUUCGGACCUUUCGCCAUUUGAGCAGCCCAAGUGAGAUUAGCUAGUUGGUGAGGUAAAGGCUCACCAAGGCGACGAUCUCUAGCUGGUUUGAGAGGAUGAUCAGCCACACUGGGACUGAGACACGGCCCAGACUCCUACGGGAGGCAGCAGUGGGGAAUAUUGCACAAUGGGGGAAACCCUGAUGCAGCCAUGCCGCGUGUGUGAAGAAGGCCUUCGGGUUGUAAAGUACUUUCAGCGAGGAGGAAAGGUUAGUAGUUAAUAACUGCUAGCUGUGACGUUACUCGCAGAAGAAGGACCGGCUAACUCCGUGCCAGCAGCCGCGGUAAUACGGAGGGUCCGAGCGUUAAUCGGAAUUACUGGGCGUAAAGCGUACGCAGGCGGUUUGUUAAGCGAGAUGUGAAAGCCCCGGGCUCAACCUGGGAACUGCAUUUCGAACUGACAAACUAGAGUUUUGUAGAGGGUGGUAGAAUUUCAGGUGUAGCGGUGAAAUGCGUAGAGAUCUGAAGGAAUACCAGUGGCGAAGGCGGCCCCCUGGACUGAUACUGACACUGAGGUGCGAAAGCGUGGGUAGCGAACAGGAUUAGAUACCCUGGUAGUCCACGCCGUAAACGAUGUCUACUAGCCGUUGGGAGGCUUGACCUCUUAGUGGCGCAGCUAACGCGAUAAGUAGACCGCCUGGGGAGUACGGCCGCAAGGUUAAAACUCAAAUGAAUUGACGGGGGCCCGCACAAGCGGUGGAGCAUGUGGUUUAAUUCGACGCAACGCGAAGAACCUUACCAAGUCUUGACAUCCUGCGAACUUUCUAGAGAUAGAUUGGUGCCUUCGGGAGCGCAGUGACAGGUGCUGCAUGGCUGUCGUCAGCUCGUGUUGUGAAAUGUUGGGUUAAGUCCCGCAACGAGCGCAACCCUUAUCCUUAGUUACCAGCGAUUCGGUCGGGGACUCUAAGGAGACUGCCGGUGACAAACCGGAGGAAGGUGGGGACGACGUCAAGUCAUCAUGGCCCUUAUGGGCAGGGCUACACACGUGCUACAAUGGUCGGUACAGAGGGUUGCCAAGCCGCGAGGUGGAGCUAAUCUCAGAAAGUAUCUCGUAGUCCGGAUUGGAGUCUGCAACUCGACUCCAUGAAGUCGGAAUCGCUAGUAAUCGCGGAUCAGAAUGCCGCGGUGAAUACGUUCCCGGGCCUUGUACACACCGCCCGUCACACCAUGGGAGUGGGUUGCAAAAGAAGUGGCUAGUCUAACCUUCGGGGGGACGGUCACCACUUUGUGGCUCAUGACUGGGGUGAAGUCG